CUGUACCAUGCUCAGGAGAUGAAGGUGACUUAGAGCCAUGUAGAAGAUGGAUUCAAUCUUCAUAAGCAUGAAUGUUGGCCAGCCCCAGAAAUUUUCUUCUGAAUCCACAGAGCAUGUGCUUGGCUACUUCCUUGCCCCAGAAUAGCAUCCUUAGAAGACAAAGAUUACAUAAUGUGGUGACAAUGUCCAAAAUAAACUAUCCUCA
rnacentral:lncRNA from 1 species